rnacentral:rRNA from 1 species
AGAGUUUGAUCCUGGCUCAGGAUGAACGCUAGCGACAGGCUUAACACAUGCAAGUCGAGGGGCAGCAUGAUUUGUAGCAAUACAGAUUGAUGGCGACCGGCGCACGGGUGAGUAACGCGUAUGCAACUUACCUAUCAGAGGGGGAUAGCCCGGCGAAAGUCGGAUUAAUACCCCAUAAAACAGGGGUCCCGCAUGGGAAUAUUUGUUAAAGAUUCAUCGCUGAUAGAUAGGCAUGCGUUCCAUUAGGCAGUUGGCGGGGUAACGGCCCACCAAACCGACGAUGGAUAGGGGUUCUGAGAGGAAGGUCCCCCACAUUGGUACUGAGACACGGACCAAACUCCUACGGGAGGCAGCAGUGAGGAAUAUUGGUCAAUGGACGCAAGUCUGAACCAGCCAUGCCGCGUGCAGGAAGACGGCUCUAUGAGUUGUAAACUGCUUUUGUACUAGGGUAAACGCUUCUACGUGUAGGAGUCUGAAAGUAUAGUACGAAUAAGGAUCGGCUAACUCCGUGCCAGCAGCCGCGGUAAUACGGAGGAUCCAAGCGUUAUCCGGAUUUAUUGGGUUUAAAGGGUGCGUAGGCGGUUUGAUAAGUUAGAGGUGAAAUACCGGGGCUCAACUCCGGAACUGCCUCUAAUACUGUUGAACUAGAGAGUAGUUGCGGUAGGCGGAAUGUAUGGUGUAGCGGUGAAAUGCUUAGAGAUCAUACAGAACACCGAUUGCGAAGGCAGCUUACCAAACUAUAUCUGACGUUGAGGCACGAAAGCGUGGGGAGCAAACAGGAUUAGAUACCCUGGUAGUCCACGCAGUAAACGAUGAUAACUCGUUGUCGGCGAUACACAGUCGGUGACUAAGCGAAAGCGAUAAGUUAUCCACCUGGGGAGUACGUUCGCAAGAAUGAAACUCAAAGGAAUUGACGGGGGCCCGCACAAGCGGAGGAACAUGUG